rnacentral:rRNA from 1 species
GACGAACGCUGGCGGCGUGCUUAACACAUGCAAGUCGAGCGAUGAAGUUUCUUCGGAAAUGGAUUAGCGGCGAACGGGUGAGGAACACGUGAAGAAUCUGCCCUCCACUUUGGGAUAACACCGGGAAACCGGUGCUAAUACUGAAUAUUGAAGCAUAAGUGGCAUCACUGAGUUUUGAAAGAAUUUCGGUGGAGGAUGACUUCACGGCCUAUCAGCUAGUUGGUGAGGUAAUGGCUCACCAAGGCAACGACGGGUAGCCGGCCUGAGAGGGCGACCGGCCACACUGGGACUGAGACACGGCCCAGACUCCUACGGGAGGCAGCAGUGGGGAAUAUUGGGCAAUGGAGGAAACUCUGACCCAGCGACGCCGCGUGCGGGAUGAAGGCCUUCGGGUUGUAAACCGCUUUCAGUAGGGAAGAAGCGAAAGUGACGGUACCUACAAAAGAAGCACCGGCUAACUAUGUGCCAGCAGCCGCAGUAA